AUGUUCCCGUCCUCUUUCUGGACAGGGCAGGUGGCAAGGCCAAACCUGCAUGGCCAUGUUGAGGUCUGGCUCUGGGUCUCAUCUGGACGCUGCUCCUUGGGAAGGACCAGCUUGUUGUCCCUCUUCCAGACCAUGCUGAGACAGCUGGCACAGCUAGGGCCAUAUCCAGCAAGUGGAGACAUGGUCAGAGCAAUGGCCAGGAAGAGGGUCAGCCGGAGCUUCAUCCUGUUCUGUCCCAAAGAACAAUCUCAACACACAAGUGGCUGUCUACCAGAGCCAGAUGGCACCGCUAGGGCCAUAUCCAGCAAAUUGAGGCACGGUCAGAGCGAUGGACAGGAAGAGAGUUGGGCUCUUGCUCUCCACUGGACACUGCUCUUCAGGAAGCACAUGGACUUUGUUCCCAUCCUCAUUCCUGAUGGGCCAGUCUCUUAGACCAUACCCGCAUGGCCUUGAUGAGGUCUGGCUCUCGGUCUCACCUGCACAGUGGUCUUCAGGAUGCACCUGAUUAUUGUUCCCAUCCUCUUUCUGGACAGGGCAGGUGGCAAGGCCAUAAAAGCAUGGCCAUGUUGAGGUCUGGCUCUUGGUCUCAUCUGGACGCUGCUCCUCGGGAAGGACCAGCUUUUUGUCCUUCUUCCUGACCAUGCUGAGACAACUGGCACAGCAAGGGCCAUUUCCAGCAAGUGGAGACAUGGUCGGAGCGAUGGCCAGGAAGAGGGUCAGAGCGAUGGCCAGGAAGAGAGUCAGGCUGAGCUUCAUCCUGUUCUCUCCCAAGGAACAAUCUCAACUCACAAGUGGCUGUCUCCCAGAGCCAGAUGGCACUGCCGGUGCCAUAUCCAGCCAAUGGAGGCACGGUCAGAGCGAUGGACAGGAAGAGAGUUCGGCUAUUGCUCUCCACUGGACACUGCUCUUCAGGAAGCACCUGGACUUUGUUCCCAACCUCAUUCCGGAUGGGACAGUCUCUUAGGCCAAACCAGCCAGGCCAGGUGGAAAUCUGGCUCUUGGUAUCAUCGGGACGCUGGUCUUCGGGAAGUACCUGAUUUUUGUUCCCGUCCUCUUUCUGGACAGGGCAGGUGGCAAGGCCAAACCUGCAUGGCCAUGUUGAGGUCUGGCUCUUGGUCUCAACUGCAUGCUUGUCCUCAGAAAGAACCUGCUAAUUGUCCCCAUUCCUGUUCCUGACAGGGCAGGUGGUUAGGCCAAAUCAGCAUGGCCAUGUUGAGGUCUGGCUCUUGCUCUCCACUGGACGCUGCUUUUCGGGAAGCACCUGGACUUUGUUCCUGUCCUCAUUCCUGAUGGGGCAGGUGGUUAGCCAAACCAGCAGGACCAGCUGGAGGUCUGGCUCUGCGUCUUAUCUGGACACUGCUCCUCAGGAAGCACCUGGAUUUUGUCCCUCUUCUUGUUUGUCAUGGGCCAGUCUCUUAGGCCAAACCAGCAG
rnacentral:lncRNA from 1 species